rnacentral:rRNA from 1 species
GACGAUCAGUAGCCGACCUGAGAGGGUGAUCGGCCACAUUGGAACUGAGACACGGUCCAAACUCCUACGGGAGGCAGCAGUGGGGAAUAUUGCACAAUGGGCGAAAGCCUGAUGCAGCAACGCCGCGUGAGUGAUGAAGGCCUUCGGGUCGUAAAACUCUGUCCUCAAGGAAGAUAAUGACGGUACUUGAGGAGGAAGCCCCGGCUAACUACGUGCCAGCAGCCGCGGUAAUACGUAGGGGGCUAGCGUUAUCCGGA